AGAGUUUGAUCAUGGCUCAGGACGAACGCUGGCGGCGUGCUUAACACAUGCAAGUCGAACGAGAUCCAUUCAGUAGCAAUACUGAUGAAGAUCUAGUGGCGAACGGGUGCGUAACACGUGAGGAACUUGUCCCGGUCUCUGGGAUAACAGUUGGAAACGACUGCUAAUACCGGAUGACGUCGGAACUUCGCAUGGAGUACUGACGAAAGGGUUACUGGAUCGGGAGAGCCUCGCGGCCUAUCAGCUUGUUGGUGGGGUAACGGCCUACCAAGGCAUCGACGGGUAGCUGGUCUGAGAGGAUGAUCAGCCACACUGGGACUGAGACACGGCCCAGACUCCUACGGGAGGCAGCAGUGGGGAAUCUUGCACAAUGGGCGAAAGCCUGAUGCAGCAACGCCGCGUGCGGGAAGAAGGCCCUCGGGUUGUAAACCGCUUUCAGAAGGAACGAAACUGACGGUACUUUCAGAAGAAGGUGCGGCCAACUACGUGCCAGCAGCCGCGGUGACACGUAGGCACCAAGCGUUGUCCGGAUUUAUUGGGCGUAAAGAGCUCGUAGGCGGUUCAGUAAGUCGGGUGUGAAAACUUUGGGCUUAACCCAAAGCGUGCAUCCGAUACUGCUGUGACUUGAGUUCGGUAGGGGAGUGGGGAAUUCCUAGUGUAGCGGUGAAAUGCGCAGAUAUUAGGAGGAACACCGGUGGCGAAGGCGCCACUCUGGGCCGAAACUGACGCUGAGGAGCGAAAGCAUGGGUAGCAAACAGGAUUAGAUACCCUAGUAGUCC
rnacentral:rRNA from 1 species